rnacentral:lncRNA from 1 species
AAAACUAUUAGAGUCCAAAACUCGAUGUGGAGAUCACAAAAGCUCCUGGAAGACUGAGCAGAGGGCUCCAGUCAUGGCACCUGUAGAAUUUCAGCCAGAACCAAUUCAGAGGACACAACCCACAAGAUUAGGCCAGUCAAGUCUCCUUUUUGCCUGGACUUUAAUCUGAAGGAAAAAUAAGCUCCACCAAAACCAGAAUGUCCCUUUUCUCUCGGCAUCUAUCUGUUCCAGACUGUGUGUCCUUUUCAACAGAGUGAAGCAACGAAAAGGAAGCUUCAGGACACCAAAGGAAAUGGGACUGCUGUACCAAUGUGUUGGCGGAAGCCUGGAAGAGGAGUGGGAGAAGGAAGGAGACCACAGCUGUGUCUGACUUAGAAGGGCUGGGCCUUCUAUAAAACGGGAAAGGUGGUUCCUGGUAAGUGGCUCCUGUAUGGUGCUUAGUGUAGCAUGCCAGUGAGAA